UACGGGGGGGGCAAGCGUUGUUCGGAAUUACUGGGCGUAAAGGGCUCGUAGGUGGCCAACUAAGUCGGACGUGAAAUCCCUCAGCUUAACUGGGGAACUGCGUCCGAUACUGGAUGGCUUGAGUUUGGGAGAGGGAUGCGGAAUUCCAGGUGUAGCGGUGAAAUGCGUAGAUAUCUGGAGGAACACCGGUGGCGAAGGCGGCAUCCUCGGACCAGCACCGACGUUCAGGCACGAAAGCGUGGGGAGCAAACAGG
rnacentral:rRNA from 1 species